rnacentral:lncRNA from 1 species
UAAAUAUUGCUGCUCUUGCUUUCAUAUCUGUACUUUUACCUUGCAUUCCUGAGAGAUACAGUUUUUGUUAUUUGCCGCAAUCUACUAUUCCCCAAAAUCACUGAUGACAGAAUGAUAAUAAUAUUUGCAAAUAUUUCCCCUUAAGUUCUUAAGUUUUCAGUCAUUAAGAAAGAAAGAAAGAAAGAAAGAAAGAAGGGAGGGAGGAAAGAAGGGAAGAAAGAAAAUGUUAAAGGUACCAAGGACAUUCUGAGCUUACAGCUGGUUUCAGCAAUUUUCACUUACGCAAGACCCCAUGUUUGUGAAAACAACCCAAGAAUCUUUAAGCAGGAUGUAAUCAACCUCUGAGCUUCUGAGAAACACUGCAAAAAUGACUUCAGCUGCCCAAAAUAAUAAUGUCCUUUACAAGCAGCUCUUCCUAUAUCUAAGGAAGAGCUAACCACAUGUGAGUUUUUGCUGGCUUCUGGGGAACAAGCAAAGAAAAUGACAAAUCCCAUCUACUCCACCCUAAAAUAUACAGUAAGCACCAGAAUCCUGCCGGAAGCUGUGAACCAUUCCAAAAGGUGCUGGAAGUAUCACAGAAGACUUAUAUCCAGAAUAAUUCUGAAUGGAAAUACAUUUUGCCUCACCAUCCAUGAAGACUCUUCACCUGAAUGAGAUCCUGUUACUAGAUCACAGCCAAUUGUUGACCACACCCUGGUUGCAUUUGAUGACCAAGGAGGGUACCUUCCUGGCAACCACAGAGACAGCUCAUCAGGAUGAUAGUGAUCUUAUGCCCACUGGAGCUAAAGAUGAGUCUUUUCCCAGUUUCAUCAAAUGGUUGGAUCCCAGUGGCUGGUGUCCCCACCCUUCUGCAAGUCGCCACACCCUGACUCACCUUGGUGCCUUCUCUGCAAUCUUCCUCUACUCCAGGACACCUGACCUCUGCCCUGAGAGCAUUCUUUAAAUCUGGGCUCAAGUAUCACAUCCUCUUCUCAUCUUUCAUUCCUAGGCUCUGGACCCCUGACUCCACUUUGUUUCUUUUGGAUCACACCAGCACGAGGAGGUGCGCCUCCCCCUCACAGAAGAGGCCCACCAAUGGGCUCUGAGCUCUGGUGGAGGGAAUGCUCUCUGGUGUCCAGGCUGGGGUUGGCGUGGAGUGCAUCCCCGGCCUUCUUUUGAUUAGCAUAGGUCUUGUUCUCUGGGACUUUCAUUUGAAAAAGUACCCAAACCAACUGGAGAUAAAUAAAAAUAAUUUAAUGAGUUUUCACUUAUAAAUAUGUUUGUGAAAAGCUACCCAGAGUGGAGGUAAAAAAAAUAGCACUUGUGAAAAUGUUUAGGCUAAAAUAUUUACACUUUUUAAUUAAAAAUGUAAUUUAGAAAUUUUUAAAGUACAACUUGCUUUGAACUUACGGUUAUAUCAGCACCUGCAGUGGGAGGAUUUACAGUAAAAAUUAUGAUGCCCAAUAAAAGAGUCAGCUGAAGCUGCCAACAGUUUUACAUUCUUUAACUAUAAAAUGAAAUAGGGGGGAAGGUUGUACUCAUUUUAUACACUAGAAAUAAAAAGAAUUAUUGAAAGAAUUUUAUCUAUAAAAUGAUUGAUGAAUGUAUCAUUUUAUGUUUAUCAACAUAAUGUAACUAGCUUUCUGUCAAUAAUGUAUCAGUAAUUGGACACUUUUCAUUUUUAACACAUUUUCACUUUCAGAUUUGUAUAAAAAUGGUACAAAAUAUAAAAUCAAAAGUGGUGUAUACCUGUAAUCCCAGGACUCUGGGAAGCUAAGUAAGGAGAAUCACAAGUUUGAGAGCAGUCUGAACAAUUCAGGGACUUAGGGACUUAUCUCAAAAUGCAAACAUUAAAAAAUAUGGUUGGGGAUGUAGCUCAGGGUGAAGGCCUUGGGACCCAUUCUCAGUACUGAAAAAGCAAAAAACAAACCAGCCUCUGAAAUAUGGUUUCCUGGGCCUAACAUCCUGCUUCCUCCUCUGACCAAAUCUUAGGACUUAAAUAGUUUUUAAAAUUGCCCGUGCCUCAGUUUCCCCCUCUGUAAAAUGAAGUUAGUAACAACAUGUGUCUCUCAGGGUUACAAAUUAAGCAACUAAGUCAGUGCUGGUUGUUAUCUUUAUCAUUAUUACUUUUAUUUGUUUGUUUGUUUUGGUAUGGGGAUUUAACUCAGGACCUUGCACUUGCAAGGCACACUGCCACUGAGCUAAAUCCCCAGCCCUCAUUAUUACUUUUAAAAAUUUUUUCAUUUAGGUGACACAAUAAUGUAACUAACCUAAAAUCACUGAAAAUUCUUGAUGAAGCCAAUGUGUACUAAAAAACAGAAAAAAAAGCUUCUUUUUGUUUACAAUUUUUUUCUCUUUAUUACUAAAUGAAAUGGCAGUUGCCUUUUAUAACUGCAAUUGAAAUUUGCUGGCUUUAUAUUUUAGUUCACAAAUCUAAGGUUUUCAACACCUAAAUGGCUAAUAUUUUAAAAUUGAGGACUCUUGUCUUUAAUUAAUGUUCAAAGUAUGAACAGAAUUAUUGUUAUAUUGUUUUAUUUUCUAUUCCUUUGUAAACAGAGAUGACAUUUGUGACUUAGAUUACAUUCCUUAGAUAAAAACUUUAUAGAGGAGAUACAGAUAGUAGGGGAAUAUAAUAGAAAUUAUCUAUAAAUCUAUAGUAAAAUAUAGUAUUUUUAAUCCUAGGAUUUCCAGAUCACCUGUAUCUGUUUAUAAUAAAUCUAAUUUUUAACUGAAAUUUAUGAUAUCUUCCACAAUACAAAUUGAAACACUUCUCACUUGAACAUCUGGUAGAGUGUUCAUCUCAAAGUUAAUUCAAGAUUCACACAUUUCAUCAAUAUGAUAUUUGUAAGCACAAAAAUAUAGCCCCUAAAUAUAGAAUAUAAAUUUAUUUUCAAAGAGAUAAAUGUUUUCAAUUCUUUGCAGUUGGUAUGAUUAUCUACCUAAGGAAAAGAAUCGGUUUUAAACAAAGUUUUAAAAAGAUUUAAAUGUCACUUUAUUUUUUAUGUAUCAUAACUUUUCAUCAGUGAUAUAAUUGUAGAAAUGUAUUUAAAAAUAUGUUACCUUUCUAGAAAGAAUGAAAAUAAUUAUAACUAGCAUUAGAAGAGCUUCAAAAAAUGUGCUUGACAUACACAAUACAAUUUUUUAAACAUUUUCAGAAUUACAAAAGAAUACACCAAAAAGAAAUACACCUUAUUGUUAAAAAAAGUGAAUACUUGAGACAUGAGUAAAGUUUUAUAAGUGAUUACAAUAAAUUAUAAGUUGUUAUAGUCUAAGAAAUUUGACAGAUAUCUGGAUGGCUGUUUUAUUUUGUUUGGUGAGACUUCACAGACUAUUCCAUAAUUCACCUAAAGGUUAGAGAGUAACUAAAUAUAUUUUAGAAAAAAAAAUAGAUUUUUGAGUUAAAAUUGACCCCAUUUUACAAUGAAAUACAAUGAAUGUUCAGGUAAUGUUUUAUGUAAUUGACAAUGGUGGAGAAAUUCUAGUAACUUAAAAAAAAGAACCAACUGCUAACAUUGUCACCCUAAAAAAUACUACAUUCUAUUCCUACUUUUCCAUUUUCUCAUAUUAAUCCCAUUCCCUUCAGUCCUUUCUCCUAUCCCUCCCACUUUGUAAAUAGGGAGGAAUGGAGGGGUUGAAGGGAGGGCUGGGCAAGGGUGAAAAAGAAGAACCAAGAGAGAUUAUUUAAAGGUGCAAAUUUCCAAUGAUGAAUGUCAUUAUAUUGUAUACCUAAAAUGUACCAAUGAUUAGAAUGAAUAAUCGAUAAUGCAAAAUAGGAAGAAAAGGUCCAAAGGGGUAGGGGUAGUGGGAGGGGCAGGAGAAAGGAAAGAAGGGAAAGGAAAAAUGAUGAGAUGGAAAAAAUGGAAAUAAAGUCUUUGUAAAUAGGGAAGGGUGGAGGGGGUGAAGGGAGGGCUAGGAAUGGGGAAAAAAAAGAAGAACCAAGAUGCGUUAUGUAAAGGUACAAUUCCCAAUGAGAAAUGUAAUUGUGUUGUAUACCUAAAAUGUACCAAUAAAAGAAUUUAACAAAAAAAAAUUACAUUCUCUCACAUGAUAGAUAUGCCAAUCAACCUGAUCUGAUUGUCACACACUGUAUACGUGCAUUGAAAUAUCACACUAUACACGAUGAAUAGGUAGAAUUACUAUGCCUCAAUUAAAAAUAUGUUUUAAUUGAAAUGUGUUUUAAAAAUAUAAGCAUGAUUAUUUAGAGAAUGAGUUUGGAAUAAUUUAUCAACUACUUUAGAGGAAAAACUAGAUAAUGACUGUUAUUUACUCUAAGUGGCAAAAUAAAUUUCAGAUUUAUCAGUGUAUUUACUUUUAAGGAAACAUAACAAUUUAAAAUAUCAAAUAAACUACUUUAGGUACAGGAAAAUUAGAAAACCCACAGAAUGAAUAAUCAAGGGAAAAUGCACAUAUUGCAUCAUAUAAAAUUAUAACCCAUAAAAUAUAUGUAAAU